AUGAUUAUCUACCGGGACCUCAUCAGCUACGAGGAGAUGUUCUCCGACAUCUACAAGAUCCGGGAGAUCGCUGACGGGCUGUGCUUGGAGGUGGAGGGGAAGAUGGUCAGUAGGACAGAAGGUAACAUUGAUGACUCGCUCAUUGGUGGAAAUGCCUCCGCUGAAGGCCCCGAGGGCGAAGGUAGGGAAAGCACAGUAAUCACUGGUGUCGAUAUUGUCAUGAACCAUCACCGCAGGAAACAAGUUUCACAAAAGAAGCCUACAAGAAGUACAUCAAAGAUUACAUGAAAUCAAUCAAAGGCAAACUUGAAGAGCAGAGACCAGAAAGAGUAAAACCUUUUAUGACAGGGGCUGCAGAACAAAUCAAGCUAAUUUCAAACAUCCUUGCUAAUUUCAAAAACUACCAGUUCUUCAUCGGUGAAAACAUGAAUCCAGAUGGCAUGGUUGCUCUAUUGGACUACUGUGAGGAUGGCGUGACCCCAUAUAUGAUUUUCUUUAAGGAUGGUUUAGAAAUGGAAAAAUGUUAACAAA